rnacentral:rRNA from 1 species
GACGAACGCUGGCGGCGUGCUUAACACAUGCAAGUCGAACGAUGAAGCCCAGCUUGCUGGGUGGAUUAGUGGCGAACGGGUGAGUAACACGUGAGUAACCUGCCCUGGACUCUGGGAUAACCCCGAGAAAUCGGAGCUAAUACCGGAUAGGACCUUUCCUCGCAUGAGGUUUGGUGGAAAGUUUUUCGGUUUGGGAUGGACUCGCGGCCUAUCAGCUUGUUGGUGAGGUAAUGGCUCACCAAGGCGUCGACGGGUAGCCGGCCUGAGAGGGUGACCGGCCACACUGGGACUGAGACACGGCCCAGACUCCUACGGGAGGCAGCAGUGGGGAAUAUUGCACAAUGGGCGCAAGCCUGAUGCAGCAACGCCGCGUGCGGGAUGACGGCCUUCGGGUUGUAAACCGCUUUUAGUAGGGAAGAAGCCUUCAGGUGACGGUACCUGCAGAAAAAGGACCGGCUAACUACGUGCCAGCCGCCGCCGUAACAC